UCUAGGGAUCCCUCUUGAGUUUGGGAACAUUUUAAAAAAAUUUCAGAUGGUGAUCCAAAUAAUCCUAGAUGCAAAUGUAAAUACUGUGGGGUAGAUUAUGCGUGUAAUACCAAAAGGUGUGGAACUAGUACGUUGUGAAAUCAUUUGAUGAACCAAUGCAAGAAAUACCAUAUUAGAACGGUGGAUAAAAAACAACAAGUUCUUUCUUUUGAAAGUAGUAGUAGUAAUUUAGUGUCUACAAGUACAACAUUUAGUAAGGAGGCAUGUAGGCUUACAUGUGCACAAAUGAUCAUCAUAGACGAGUUGCCAUUUAGCCACGUUGAAAGGGAAGGGUUUAGAAAGUUUUGUAAUACUUUGAACCCUAAGUAUGAACCACCAUCUGGUAGAACAAUUUCUAGAGAGGUCUUUCAAUUAUACUUAGAUGAGAAAAAAGCUUUGAAGAGUGUGUUUUCAUUGAGGAAGCAAAGGGUUUGUCGUACGACGGACACAUGGACUUCCAUUCAAAAUAACAAUUAUAUGACUCUUACCACUCAUUUUAUUGAUGAUGAUUGGAAAUUGCAUAAGAGAAUUAUAAAUUUUUGUGUUGUUCAAAAUCAUAAGGGUGAGACAAUUGGCAAGAUUAUAGAAAAUUGUUUGAUUGAAUGGGGUAUUGAAAGGGUUUUUACAAUAACGGUUGAUAAUGCUUCUUCAAAUGAUGUGGCUAUUAAUUUUUUGAAAGGAAAAUUAAAUUAUUGGAAAGGAAAUGUUUUGGAUAGUAAGUUUUUGCAUGUUCGUUGUGCUGCACAUAUUGUAACUUUGAUUGUGACAUUUGGAUUAAGGGAAAUUCAUGAUAGUAUUGCUGGAAUUUGUAAUGCUAUUAGAUAUGUUUGAUCAUCUCCUUCAAGGUUAAACAAAUUUAAAAUAUGUGUAGAAAAGGAGCAGAUUGGAUUUAGAGAAACCAUGGUUUUGGAUGUAUUUACUAAGUGGAAUUCCACCUAUUUGAUGUUGAACUUGGCUUUGAAGUAUCAAAAAGCUUUUGAUAGGAUGAUAGACGAAGAUGGAUUUUUUCUUGGAUAUUUUGAGGAGGAUGAAUUUGGAAGAAAGAGAGCUGGACCACUUUAAAUUAAAGAUUGGGAUAGUGUAAGAGUUUUUGUGAAAUUCCUUGCUACUUUUUAUGAGAUUACCUUAAAGUUUAGUGCCUCUUUAACCGUGACUUCUAAUAUAUGUUUUCAUGAAUUAAGUUUAAUGUAUAAUGCACUUGUUGAAUGGAGUAAUAGUUAAAACCAUUUGAUGGCCGAUAUGGCAAAGAAAAUAUUGAUAAAGUUUGAGAAAUAUUAGGGUUCACUUGGAAAUGUCAACAAGUUGUUGCUUAUUGUCGUUGUGCUUGAUUCAUAAUAUAAGCUAGAAUAUGUAUCAUAUCUUUUUGAGGAUGCUUAUGAAAGUGGUAUGGUUGAAUCUUUGACUAAGGAUGUAAAAGAUACUUUAGUUAACCUUUACAACUUCUAUAAGAAAAUUGAUUUUAUGAAGGAGAGUUCUAGAGUGUCAAAUUCUAAUAAUAGUCAAUCAAUGCAAGCACAACAAAGUGGGAUGAUGAUGGAUUCAUUGGAUGAUGGAAGCCUAGAUGAUCGUCGGCGUUUGAAAGAAUCACAAUUUAAGAAAAGGAAAAUGGAGAAAAAUGUAUUGGAAAUAAAGAAUGAGGCUGAUAAAUUUUUGUUUGAUCCAUGUGAGGAUGUGGAAAGUGAGAAAUUUGAUAUUUUGGCUUGGUGGAAAAAUAAUUAGACAAAAUAUCGAAUUUUAUCUCAAAUUGCAAGAGAUGUAUACGUCAUUCUAGUUUCUACAAUAACAUCCGAAUAUGCUUUUAGUACCGGAGGGCCUAUUCUUGAUGCAUUCCGAAAUUCAUUGGGUCAAAAAAUGGUGGAGGCUUUGAUUUGUUCUCAAAAUUGGUUGCAAUCAAAGCCUAUGACGUAUGAUUAUAGAGUUGAAGUACCAAUUGGAGAUGUUGCAUAUUAUGAUUCUAUUGAAUCGGGUAAGAAUUUUUUUUAUUAUUAUUUGUAAUUUUAUUUUUAUUAUCUAUUUUAGAGCUUUUAAAUUUUUUAGUAAUAUUUACAACUUCUUUUUAACUUAUUAAUUAAUUUAAUAUCAUAUUUUAAUUUGUUUAGGAGCAUUUUGGGUUACAAAACAAAGUUUACCUCCACCUAAUUAAUUUAUGAUUGCUUGGAUGAAUUGAAUAUGGCUUAUUGAGAUAGUGAGUUUUGCAUGGCUUAUUGGCUUAUUGAGCUUGUGGUUGCUGCUGGUGGCUUUUCAUGUAAUGGAGAAUGUGGAAGAAAACAAUAUUUAAAAUAAUUUUCAUUUUUAUGGAUUGUUAGUUUAUUUAAUUAUAAGUUUAUUUUGAAAUUUAAGAUUUCAAAUAUGGGUUGUAUUUUAUUUUGUAACUAAUAAUGGUUGUAGACUUAUUAUAGAAUUUAUUUGUUAGUGUA